GUGGCUGUAGUUCUCUAGCAUGACAUCCUGGUAUAGGCAUCUUUGAGUGGAGUCCAAUUGCUGCCACUCCUCCCUGCUGAAGUCCACAGUCACAUCCUCAAAUGACACUGGGACCUCACAGGCAUUGCCACGUCCCUCUGGGUGAAGAAAAUUCCCUGUAGAGGCUGCCAUGCUCAGGCUGGAUCUCUCUCUGGGGCUCACUUGCUGACAACUCCACACUUCCCAGGUUGUUCAAGCCUUUGCAAUCUGUG